rnacentral:rRNA from 1 species
GACGAACGCUGGCGGCGUGCUUAACACAUGCAAGUCGAACGGAAAGGCCCUGCUUUUGUGGGGUUCUCGAGUGGCGAACGGGUGAGUAACACGUGAGUAACCUGCCCUUGACUUUGGGAUAACUUCAGGAAACUGGGGCUAAUACCGGAUAGGAGCUCCUGCUGCAUGGUGGGGGUUGGAAAGUUUCGGCGGUUGGGGAUGGACUCGCGGCUUAUCAGCUUGUUGGUGGGGUAGUGGCUUACCAAGGCUUUGACGGGUAGCCGGCCUGAGAGGGUGACCGGCCACAUUGGGACUGAGAUACGGCCCAGACUCCUACGGGAGGCAGUAGUGGGGAAUAUUGCACAAUGGGCGGAAGCCUGAUGCAGAAACGCCGCGUGCGGGAUGAAGGCCUUCGGGUUGUAAACCGAUUUAGGCUGUGACGAAGCGUGAGUGACGGUAAUGGGUAAAGAAGCACCGGCUAACUACGUG